rnacentral:rRNA from 1 species
UACAGAGGUCCCGAGCGUUAUUCGGAUUUACUGGGCAUAAAGCGCGCGUAGGCGGCUUGGCAAGUCGGGGGUGAAAGCCCGCAGCUCAACUGCGGAACUGCCUUCGAUACUGCCGGGCUUGAGGGCGGGAGGGGUGAUUGGAACUCCAGGUGUAGCGGUGAAAUGCGUAGAUAUCUGGAGGAACACCGGAGGCGAAGGCGAAUCGCUGGACCGCUUCUGACGCUGAGGCGCGAAAGCUAGGGGAGCAAACAGG